rnacentral:rRNA from 1 species
AGAGUUUGAUCCUGGCUCAGAUUGAACGCUGGCGGCAGGCCUAACACAUGCAAGUCGAGCGGAUGAAGGGAGCUUGCUCCCUGAUUUAGCGGCGGACGGGUGAGUAAUGCCUAGGAAUCUGUCUGGUAGUGGGGGAUAACGUUCCGAAAGGAACGCUAAUACCGCAUACGUCCUACGGGAGAAAGCAGGGGACCUUCGGGCCUUGCGCUAUCAGAUGAGCCUAGGUCGGAUUAGCUAGUUGGUGAGGUAAUGGCUCACCAAGGCGACGAUCCGUAACUGGUCUGAGAGGAUGAUCAGUCACACUGGAACUGAGACACGGUCCAGACUCCUACGGGAGGCAGCAGUGGGGAAUAUUGGACAAUGGGCGAAAGCCUGAUCCAGCCAUGCCGCGUGUGUGAAGAAGGUCUUCGGAUUGUAAAGCACUUUAAGUUGGGAGGAAGGGCAUUAACCUAAUACGUUAGUGUUUUGACGUUACCGACAGAAUAAGCACCGGCUAACUUCGUGCCAGCAGCCGCGGUAAUACGAAGGGUGCAAGCGUUAAUCGGAAUUACAGGGCGUAAAGCGCGCGUAGGUGGUUCGUUAAAUUGGAUGUGAAAGCCCCGGGCUCAACCUAGGAACUGCAUCCAAAACUGGCGAGCUAGAGUACGGUAGAGGGUGGUGGAAUUUCCUGUGUAGCGGUGAAAUGCGUAG